AUUGAACGCUGGCGGCAGGCUUAACACAUGCAAGUCGAGCGGGGGGAGGUAGCUUGCUACCGGACCUAGCGGCGGACGGGUGAGUAAUGCUUAGGAAUCUGCCUAUUAGUGGGGGACGACAUCGCGAAAGGGAUGCUAAUACCGCAUACGUCCUACGGGAGAAAGCAGGGGAUCUUCGGACCUUGCGCUAAUAGAUGAGCCUAAGUCGGAUUAGCUAGUUGGUGGGGUAAAGGCCUACCAAGGCGACGAUCUGUAGCGGGUCUGAGAGGAUGAUCCGCCACACUGGGACUGAGACACGGCCCAGACUCCUACGGGAGGCAGCAGUGGGGAAUAUUGGACAAUGGGGGGAACCCUGAUCCAGCCAUGCCGCGUGUGUGAAGAAGGCCUUAUGGUUGUAAAGCACUUUAAGCGAGGAGGAGGCUACUUUAGUUAAUACCUAGAGAUAGUGGACGUUACUCGCAGAAUAAGCACCGGCUAACUCUGUGCCAGCCGCCGCGGUAA
rnacentral:rRNA from 1 species